CUCCUUGCAUGGCUUGUUAGUAAAGGUUUUUGUUGAGUUUUAAGAACAGUUUUAAAAACAAACUCAACAAUUCAGAGAUUCAGUAACUGAGAACUGGCAAUGCAGAAUAAGAUGUGGCAUGCACAGGUGAGGACUGGAGGAACUGUGAGUGCCAGCUGGAGGAGAGAAGGCCAUGCCUGAACAGCCCACUCCCUAAGGAACCAGCAAGUGAUUCUUGAACAUUUAUGCCAGAGAAAUGAAGACUUAUCUUGACAUGAAAAUGAAUGGACGUUUAUUUGUAAUAGCCAAACCUGGAAACAAUCCAAGUGUCCUUCAACAGAUAAUCCAAGACGGAGGAGAAGCAUCUCCAUGGCACCUCACUCUGAUUUGCGAGGAUUUGGCCAGAGAAACUGUUCUCAAGAGUGUGAAUUAGGUGGCAGCUACUAUUUUAUGGUACCUCGCUAUCCACUUUGUAAGAAAACAAAAAGAACACAUGAUGAGGCUCUGGGUCAGCCAGGAUUCUAGAUUCUGCUGCCAGACACAUCUUACAAGGAGUCUCCGAGAGCAGAGGGAGCACAUCCCCUGACACCUCGCACAUGACAGUUGCUUCAUCAGUGCUGGUUGUGCUCCUGAGAACUCAGCAUGGAGAGAGGCCUAGUCCCCGCUCCCCUGCUCCCAAUUGCUCUGUGACUCAUUCUCACGGCUCGCCCUUCAGGUUCUCGUUCUUGAAUUUCUCCUGCUCCCUCCCACUCCCAGUCCUUUGCCAUGUCUCCCCUGUGCCUGGAACACUUUUUGAUGCAGGUCACCUCCAGGACUCUGCCACUUUCAAGUUGAGUGUUCCAGGUAGGUCACUGAACCCCUCUGAGUUUCAGUGUCUUUAUCUGUAAAGAUAAAAACUAGACAUAACCUUUGGCUGACUGGGAGAGUUGGGAUUGGAUAAGGCAAGUACUGAGUCCAAGGCCUGGCUCUGAGUCCCUGCCCCAGGGACAGCAGCUCCUGUGAUUUUGGUUCAUCAUGGUAGGUCCCUCCUUCUCUCUCUCUUCUUGGGAACUGCCACCAUCCUUUCUGUUCUUUAACCUGCUUCUCCGCCAAUAAAGGCAGAGUGGAACACUCUCUUCCUGGCUCCUAUUUCCUCGCUGCCUCCAAAGACAAGCCUGUCACCUCCCCACCCCGCCUGCCCACAUCUUUGUUUUACUAAAUGAAGGAAUAAUUAUAAAAAUUUUAGAACUUCAUCAGGUCCUACAAGCAUACACCUGAAUGAUAACUUCCCUGUUGGGAUAAUAGCUAGAAACUCUGUUGGGUGUUUGCCUCUUGCUCGAAUUCCUUAUUUUAUUUUAUUUUGAGCAAAAACACACAUUUAUUUACUAACCAAAGGCUGAUCCUAAUCUAAGCCAACACUUUAAAAUAGCUGCAUGUAAAAUAUUUGUGAUGAAGAUAAUUAAACACAGUAAUGAAAAAAAUAAAAACAAAAACAAGCAGGAUGGAGAUAUGUUCAUUGAACUGAAAUUGUUCCUUCUCUCAGCUAAUUGCUCUCCAAAGCAGUAAGGAAAUUUUUAUUCUGCUUUUUUUAUUUUCACAGAUCUGAG
rnacentral:lncRNA from 10 species